CCCGAUUACGGUAUUAUCUGUUAAUCUUGUCAACUUGACUUACCAUGAAUUUGAUCAUCAAUAAUAAAUCUCAAGCAAUUCGAGUCAUAGCGGAAUAGAAAAUGCAUACUCUUUGUCAAAAAACAAAAAAAAAAUAUAGAUAUAGGAGACAUGAACAUGGAGGGAGGCAACCCAAGAGGAGGCCUCCUACCAAAAAUAAAUAACAGGACCGGGUUCACAAGAGAAACGGCUCCAUGUUUCCAUUUUAGGCUGCCGUCCUUCCCUCCUUGUCCCCAAUUUAAAUUUCGAAUAAAUAAAUAGAAAACGAACACACACACGAAGCUGUUCUCCGCCUCUCUCGCCAUCUCUCCUUCUCUCUCCUCCGAGUUUGGGACAUCCACAUCUCUCCAUCGAUCCACCACACAUCUCUCUCUCUCUCUCUUCGACUGUUGAUUCAUUUAAUUCCAUCGAACCUCUGCGUCGUCGGGAGAGGAAAUUUUGGGUUCUCCCGAGGGGCGUCCUCCGGGAAUGGGCUGCCUAUUUCGAUGCUUUCGACCCGAAGGUAGUAACAGACGUAGAAGGGAUCGGCCGGUUCCCAGGUCGCGUCCUUCUACAAGCAAGAUUAAUCAGGGAUCUUUGGUGUCGAAGAGGCAGCUCGAGUCCUUUUUCGUAAAUGAGGAUCAUGGUUCUCUUUCCAAGCAAGUCUCCAAGUCAAGUGCAAAGGACAACGUUCAUAAAGAUGGCUCAUACGGGGAACUUAAACACGAG